AGCGAACGCUGGCGGCAGGCCUAACACAUGCAAGUCGAACGGUAACAGGAAGCAGCUUGCUGCUUCGCUGACGAGUGGCGGACGGGUGAGUAAUGUCUGGGAAACUGCCCGAUGGAGGGGGAUAACUACUGGAAACGGUAGCUAAUACCGCAUAACGUCGCAAGACCAAAGAGGGGGACCUUCGGGCCUCUUGCCAUCGGAUGUGCCCAGAUGGGAUUAGCUAGUUGGUGAGGUAACGGCCCACCAAGGCGACGAUCCCUAGCUGGUCUGAGAGGAUGACCCGCCACACUGGAACUGAGACACGGUCCAGACUCAUACGGGAGGCAGGAGUGGGGAAUAUUGCACAAUGGGCGCAAGCCUGAUGCAGCCAUGCCGCGUGUAUGAAGAAGGCCUUCGGGUUGUAAAGUACUUGCAGCGGGGAGGAAGGUGUUGUGGUUAAUAACCGCAGCAAUUGACGUUACCCGCAGAAGAAGCACCGGCUAACUCCGUGCCAGCAGCCGCAGUAACAC
rnacentral:rRNA from 1 species